AUUGAACGCUGGCGGCAGGCCUAACACAUGCAAGUCGAACGGCAGCACAGAAGAGCUCGCUCUUUGGGUGGCGAGUGGCGGACGGGUGAGUAAUGUCUGGGAAACUGCCCGAUGGAGGGGGAUAACUACUGGAAACGGUAGCUAAUACCGCAUAACGUCGCAAGACCAAAGUGGGGGACCUUCGGGCCUCACACCAUCGGAUGUGCCCAGAUGGGAUUAGCUAGUAGGUGGGGUAAUGGCUCACCUAGGCGACGAUCCCUAGCUGGUCUGAGAGGAUGAACAGCCACACUGGAACUGAGACACGGUCCAGACUGCUACGGGAGGCAGCAGUGGGGAAUAUUGCACAAUGGGCGCAAGCCUGAUGCAGCCAUGCCGCGUGUAGGAAGAAGGCCUUCGGGUUGUAAAGUACUUUCAGCGGGGAGGAAGGCGGUGAGGUUAAUAACCUUGCCGAUUGACGUUACCCGCAGAAGAAGCACCGGCUAACUCCGUGCCAGCAGCCGCCGUAA
rnacentral:rRNA from 1 species